GAUGAACGCUAGCGGGAGGCCUAACACAUGCAAGCCGAGCGGUAGAGUUUCUUCGGAAACUUGAGAGCGGCGCACGGGUGCGUAACACGUGUGCAACCUACCUUUAUCUGGGGGAUAGCCUUUCGAAAGGAAGAUUAAUACCCCAUAAUAUAAUGAUUGGCAUCAAUUAUUAUUGAAAACUCCGGUGGAUAGAGAUGGGCACGCGCAAGAUUAGAUAGUUGGUGAGGUAACGGCUCACCAAGUCAAUGAUCUUUAGGGGUCCUGAGAGUGAGAUCCCCCACACGGGUACUGAGACACGGACCAGACUCCUACGGGAGGCAGCAGUGAGGAAUAUUGGACAAUGGGUGAGAGCCUGAUCCAGCCAUCCCGCGUGAAGGAUGACGGUCCUAUGGAUUGUAAACUUCUUUUGUACAGGGAUAAACCUACACUCGUGAGGGUAGCUGAAGGUACUGUACGAAUAAGCACCGGCUAACUCCGUG
rnacentral:rRNA from 1 species